UACGGAGGGUGCAAGCGUUGUCCGGAUUUAUUGGGUUUAAAGGGUGCGUAGGCGGCCCGUUAAGUCAGUGGUGAAAGCCUCCAGCUCAACUGGAGAACUGCCAUUGAUACUGACGGGCUUGAGUACAGACGAGGUUGGCGGAAUUGAUUGUGUAGCGGUGAAGUGCAUAGAUACAAUCAAGAACACCGAUUGCGUAGGCAGCUAACUAGGCUGUAACUGACGCUGAGGCACGAAAGCGUGGGGAGCGAACAGG
rnacentral:rRNA from 1 species